rnacentral:rRNA from 1 species
AUUGAACGCUGGCGGCAGGCUUAACACAUGCAAGCCGAGCGGGGGAAGGUAGCUUGCUACCGGACCUAGCGGCGGACGGGUGAGUAAUGCUUAGGAAUCUGCCUAUUAGUGGGGGACAACAUCUCGAAAGGGAUGCUAAUACCGCAUACGUCCUACGGGAGAAAGCAGGGGAUCCUCGGACCUUGCGCUAAUAGAUGAGCCUAAGUCGGAUUAGCUAGUUGGUGGGGUAAAGGCCUACCAAGGCGACGAUCUGUAGCGGGUCUGAGAGGAUGAUCCGCCACACUGGGACUGAGACACGGCCCAGACUCCUACGGGAGGCAGCAGUGGGGAAUAUUGGACAAUGGGGGGAACCCUGAUCCAGCCAUGCCGCGUGUGUGAAGAAGGCCUUAUGGUUGUAAAGCACUUUAAGCGAGGAGGAGGCUACUUUAGUUAAUACCUAGAGAUAGUGGACGUUACUCGCAGGAUAAGCACCGGCUAACUCUGUGCCAGCAGCCGCGGUAAUACAGAGGGUGCGAGCGUUAAUCGGAUUUACUGGGCGUAAAGCGUGCGUAGGCGGCUUAUUAAGUCGGAUGUGAAAUCCCCGAGCUUAACUUGGGAAUUGCAUUCGAUACUGGUGAGCUAGAGUAUGGGAGAGGAUGGUAGAAUUCCAGGUGUAGCGGUGAAAUGCGUAGAGAUCUGGAGGAAUACCGAUGGCGAAAGCAGCCAUCUGGCCUAAUACUGACGC